CCUCCUACUAAACUCACACACAUAUACCCCCUAGCCUGUCAACCCCUCAGUGAGCCACGCUCAAUCUUCUUGCCGCUUACCACCGCCAACCCCCUUUUCCUUUUUACCCACACCCACACCUCAACGAAGGAAGGUAACAGAAGGGAAGAAACGAGAGUUUGAGAUUAGAGAGUUGAGAGGGGAAAUCAAAGCGCGAGGGAGAAGAAGAGAGGGGGAGGGAUGGCGCCGCGGGGUUUGCUGCUGCGCCGCCACGUCCAGCUUGCCGUUGCACCUCACUGCCGUCACUGUCAUCAGGAGUGUCAGGAGAGACAAAAGGAACUCGCGGGGGAAACCACCACUGCUAGAAGAAGUUGCGCCGCCAUCACUGACGAAGGAGAAGGGAGUAGAGGAAACGGGCUAGGACCCAGGGGGAGGAGAUGCCGCCGUUUGUCGCUGCCUGUGCCGCCGUUCACACCUCUAUCGCCAAACUGCAUGCGCUGUUAACGUCACGGUCACCACGCCUCACAAUCGGGAGUCUGAACAUGAGGAAGGAGAGGAACCAUCGCGUUCUGCUGCCAUCGAGGGACCCAUUGCCGCCAGCUCUGCCACUGACGAACCGUCGCGCCGCCGCUGGGGCCAAUCACCGUUGCCAAGCUCCUCAUCGCUGCUUUGAUUGUCGGAAGUUACCAACGAAGCUGCUGCUAGUCCUUUCCCCUGUUCUUUUUAAUUUCUGGCUGCCACUGCAAAUUGUACGAUGGUAUUGCUGUUGCGGGGAGUUGUUGGUGCGGCUAAUGCCGCUGCUGUUGCUAAUCUGGUUUGAGGCUGUUGCUGUUGCUACAAGUUAAAACGAAAUUGGAGACACUCUUAACUUUGUGGGUUUCGACUAACUGAGUGACACAGGUUCGAAGACUCAGUAUGAAGCUUCGACUGAUUAGUAGAUUUACUUAUGAUUCCUGUUGCUCUUAUAGAGUUUCCUUGCCCUUGUUGUCUUAGUUUUUAUUUUAUCCAGAGGGAUACGUAUUGUAUUCGAAUUUUAUAUUGAACAUGUUUGUAUGGAAUUUAUUAUUAUUAUUAGUAAUUAUGUGACUAUUAUUAUUAUUUGAAGAUCUUUGAUAUGUGGUCUUAAUUAAUAGAAACAAAAUUUUCUAGAAUUUUCUUAAAAACUGAAAUGCAAUAUCGACGUAAAUGCUCAAUAUUAAAGAGAUAAUAAAGGAAAACAGGUUAGUAACGCCUUAUUUUUGGUACGAUUAUAACGUGCUAAAAGUUACGGUGUUACAGGUAAAGUUUUUCAAUGAGGUGCUUGUGUUUUUUAAAAGCUCAAGUUUUUCAUUUUGUGUUUGGUAAAUAAAAAAGAUCACGUGCUUAUGCUUGCAGCUUUUAACAGAUCGGGGUACUUUUGAAAGCACUUAAGGACAUGAGGAGAUACAGAAAGAUCUAUGUCGUAUUCCACCAGGAGAUGAACAACUACAGAAAGUUAUAAAUAAUUGGUGCUACAAAAUUACUAGUGAAGCUUGUGAACUCACAGAAGACUUGAAGUGUUGCCAUGAUUGCCAAAAUACGUAUGGAUCCACCGCAUAUGGAAAAUGUCUUUCUUCUAAGCUACACUGUAUUUGUCUCACUCCAUGUUAAGAUUCUAGUAUGUGUAUUUCAUACGCAAUGCAACGUUGUAGUACUUACAUAAAUAAUUCGAAAUUAUAAA